CCUACGGGAUGCAGCAGUGGGGAAUAUUGCACAAUGAGCGCAAGCCUGAUGCAGCCAUGCCGCGUGUAUGAAGAAGGCCUUAGGGUUGUAAAGUACUUUCAGUUGGGAGGAAGGCGUUGAUGCUUAUAUCAUCAACGAUUGACGUUACCAACAGAAGAAGCACCGGCUAACUCCGUGCCAGCAGCCGCGGUAAUACGGAGGGUGCAAGCGUUAAUCGGAAUUACUGGGCGUAAAGUGCACGCAGGCGGUUGAUUAAGUUAGAUGUGAAAUCCCCGGGCUUAACCUGGGAAUGGCAUCUAAGACUGGUCAGCUAGAGUCUUGUAGAGGGGGGUAGAAUUCCAUGUGUAGCGGUGAAAUGCGUAGAGAUGUGGAGGAGUACCGGUGGCGAAGGCGGCUCCCUGGACAAAGACUGACGCUCAGGUGCGAAAGCGUGGGGAGCAAACAGGAUUAGAUACCCUUGUAGUC
rnacentral:rRNA from 1 species